ensembl:lncRNA
GGGGAUAUAAGGCCCUGCUCUGUUCCUCUCUUUACUUCCCAGCUGCUCAGAGGUAACCAAGUUCUGUCACUUGCAUCCACCAUGAUGUACUGUGCCACCUUGUCACAGGUCCAGAUCAAUGGGACCAAUCUGUCGUGGACUGAAACCUCCAUAGCUGUGAGCCAGAAUAUCACUUUCUUCUUUUCUAAGGGAAGCUAAAAGUCAUCUGUUAGUUAUAUGAGUUUGAGCUAUGGAAAAAACCUGAGAUUCCCAGAAAUUGGAUAACUUGUCCAAGGCAAAGUGGCAGAACCAGGAUUCAAAUCCAGUCUGAAUCUAAGCAUCACGUUCUUUCCACUAGUAAAUGAGGCCUUUCAACAAUGAGUGCUUCCUGUCAUCCUAGAAGAACAAAAAGUACCUUUGCUUGAAGACCCUAAGUAUUGCUAGAUUAGAGGAAGUCUCCAGAAAACUAAACAUAAACCUUUCCAGUCUGGGGAGGUCACCACACAAUGGGCUGACUGUAAUGAAGGCUAAGACAGGUCGAGGUAUCAUGCAGCAGCCUAGCCGGUCUAGAAAUGGAGGCUCUGCAGAGGGGAGGUGGAGGAUGAAGUAGAUACAAAGAAGCAACCUCAUUAAGAAGGCUUCACACUUGGACUAUCUGCUAUGGACUAAAGCCCUUUAGAUGAUGGAUGAGCAUAUUAUGUUAAUACAAAACUAAAAAGGAACAUAUCCAGGCAGCCAUUUGUCUCACCUCCUCUGUGGAGCAUAAGACAUAUAAAUUCCUUACACAAAGCAGAAAUGAAAAGAUUGAAUGUGGCCUUGCCUUUGCUACUAUCUUUGGAAACUUGGUGGCCUUGGAAACUUGUGAUCCCUGACUUUAACCAUAUAUUAAAGGCAUGAGGAAGUAAGAUAUAUACCAGAUUGCAAACCUGUGGAGAAUCGACACCCUAGGUCCCACCCCAUGUGUUAUUCUUACAAUGUGAUGGUGAAACUCUUCGCUUGAAUCUGAGAGGCCUGAGAUCAUGGUGGAAAUAACUAUGUGACAUCCCAGGUCAAGUCAUAAAGGUAUAGAUUGUGUGUAGUGCCAUUAGAUAGUUGAUUUUUUUUUUUUUAUUCUGGGGAUUGAACUCGGGACCUUGUGCUUGUGAGGCAGGUGGCGUCACCAUUAACCUAAAUCCCCAGCCCUAGACACUUGAAUUUGAAACCCAAAUACCAUGUUGUGAGGAAACCUACACACAGAGACCAGGUGCAGUGUUCCUGACUACAACUUUGGCUACUCCUGGCCAACAGCCACAAAUGAAUGAGGACACCUUCAAAAUGCUUCUGGCACUAGAAGCCAUCAAACUGCAUGAGAAAAAAACUCCAAGAGAGAUUGCCCACCAUUAUGGCUUAUGUUUAGAUGUCCGCCCAAAGCCUCAUGCUUUCUCAGAGGUGGUUAGAUCUGGAGUGUGUAAUGCUGGAAUUAUUCAUGGUGCAAUGCUAGGCUCAGGGGCACUAGGAUUAAGGGUGUGAGUGCUACCCAUCCUAAACAGUUUAGAUAGAGUAUAAAAGGGGCGGAAAGAAGCUGUUAAGGUCCCUUGUUGCUUUUGCUGUCUUCUGCCCCAUGAACUGUUGCCCCUCUGCCAUAUGCCACCCUACCUUGGAGCCAGCUGAUUAUGGACUGAAACCUCUACAAACUGUGAGCUAAAUAAACCUUUCCCCCUUUAACUUUGGAUACUGGAUAUUUUGCCUCAGCAACAAGAGAUUGUAACUAAGACACUCACCAAGCCUUAUAAGCCUGCAGAAUAGUUAGUAGUAAAAUGAUUUUUGUUGUUUUAAUCUACUAAGUUUUUUGGGUGGGCAUGCUGUGCAGCAAUGGCUAACAGAAACAAGAUAGAAACGAUAUUAUUUUAAUUCUUUUUUUUUUUGGUCCUGGG